AGCAACUUGGCGCAGUGGUAGCGCGCGGGGCCCAUAACCCCGAGGUCCCUGGAUCGAAACCAGGAGUUGCUA
rnacentral:tRNA from 1 species